GCAUGAGUGAGAAAGAGGAAUCCGGCCUAUUUGCAUGUGGUGUUUUGAGCUGCAGCACUGAUACAGACAUCAUAAUUGCAUGAUGCACCCAAUGCUGAAAUCAUUUUAGCUCGUUGCUCUUAAUUUUAAAGUUAAGUUUAAACUCUCUCCUGUUGAACUCAAUGGCGCACGAGAAAAUGUUUCAUUGUUAAUUACUUUGAGUGUCAUGGGAGCCAUGCAUGGUGUAGUGGUUAAGAGCAGUGGACUCGUAAUCUGGUGAACCGGGUUUGCUUCCCCACUCCUCCACAUGCAGCUGCUGGGUGCCCUUGGGCUAGUCACACUUCCCUGAAGUCUCUCAGCCCACAGAGUGUUUUUUUGUGGGGGAGGAAGGGAAAGGAGAUUGUUAGCCACUUUGAGACUCCUUAAGGGGAGUGAAAGGCAGGAUAUCAAGUCCAAACUCCUCCUCCUCUUCUUCUUCUUCUUCUUCUUCUUCUUCUUCUUCUUCUUCUUCUUCUGCUACCCCUCUACUUCCAGGAGAGAGGAAGCCAAAUGCUGGCUCAUGGUGGCUGGCAGUUCAGGGAUUCCCUCCUAAGAAUUUUGAAUUGCCCAAUCAAGGGCAGCUUGAUGGCAGGGUUUGGGCAGCAGAUCAGAGUGGAGAAGUCUUCUUUACGGUCUGCCACCUCGAUAUCUAGGCCAACUGCGCCCGAGUUUGGCAAAGAGCAACCUGCCCUUCCUCCCUUUCUGCUGUGGUUUAUUGUGCAUUCCAAUCUCAUUUGCUUCCUUUGAGCAUCGUGUUAUCUGACCUUGACAUGGCUUAAUAUGGUUCACAUAUUUGGAGCUGGGAAGGAAUUUAUAAGUUUAUAGUUAUAAGUUUGCAUGUGGAAGACAAGAUGCUGAAGAAACCUAGGGAACAAGCUGAGCCAGCUCCACUCCUUUCUCCCAGUGCCACUUCUUCACGUCUCACUGAGCAACAGCAGUCUGUGUAUGAGGCAGGCUUUCAUUGCCCAACUCCUAUUGCUGCUGAGUGGCAGAUGUCAGGUCAGACUAUUUCCCCCCUCCCCCACCUUUCACGUCAUUCAAAGCCUAGUGAGCCUCUGUAUCUCCACUUGAUCUGGUGAGCAGCAAAUGCCCACAUAGGUGGUAUCUACUCCUGCUGGGGUCUUCAUGUAUGCAUCAGCAAAAAAGAGGACAGUGCAUCAACAUCAUACUACCAAAGAAAGCAGGUGCAGAUUUGCAUACAAUUUGCAUGUGCUAAUAUCUCCCAGCAGAUCCCGAUUUAGAAAUUACUAUAGUUUAAAUAGAAAAUUCUGCAUCUCUCCUCAUACUGGGGAAGACAAUAACCAGCUGCCUUGUGUUCCUCUCCAGGUGCUACCUGUUUAUAGGCACUUUCAACACCCUUUUCUCCCUCAUGUGGCUAUUAUUUGUUUUCGAACAGCCUGGAUCCUCUGGCAAUUCUUCAGAUUGAGGAUUGCCCACUGUAAAGUAGGAUACAUGGCCACCCUAUGCAUGUAGCAGCAGAGAUAUCUCAUGUCUCAGUGGGUGGGGUGGAAGACAGCCUUUGGUUGUCAUGUUGUGACUUUGUGCAUGGCAAGGGUCUCCACAACCAGUCCUGCGCACACAUGCGCAUGCACACACAAAGGGGGAGAGCAAUUGUUAUAUCUCCAUUGCCAAAUUUCCAGAACCUCAUUCUGGAUAACAACCUGAAGUCUGUCUAACCCUUCAUGAGUUGCUGUGUGUGGUUCAAAGAAAUUUUGGGGGGAAAUGCACAAAAGAAAUAUAUUUUGAAAGAAGACACAUUUGUUGUGAAAAAGGCGAGUGAUCAAAAUGUAGUUUUAUAGGAAGUAAUCAGCAUUACAGCUAGGAAAACAUUGCUUCUUUUCUUUUUUUUCUUUUUCUUUUUUACAUUGGGCAAGCCUGUGAGUUAAUCAGGAGAUCAUUAUCAUAAAACACUUUUAACAGUACACUGCUGACUGACAGAGUCAUGAGGAGAAUGAAAGAGAAAAUGAAAGAAAUCUUUCAACAAGACCUCUGGAGACAUUCUGAAGUACCUGGCUGUCAGCAUUCCUGGAUCAAAAGGAGUAGCUCCACUACUGAAAUGAAAGGACACAUUGGCAAAUUCAUAUCUAUUAUUUUCAAAAGAUUGGCAGAUUAUUUUGCAACACAAUUUAGCAACAUUUAAGUCUAGUACUGAAUGGAGUUGCUUUUAAACCCGUCUUUAUUGUGAUACUUUUGCAAGCAUUACAGCACCUGUUGGGAUCACAUGGAGUGGUUGCGUUCUUGUUUCUAUUUUCAACAGGACCACCCCCCCCCCCAGGCUUCCCGAAAACCUUUGUUUUUCAGACUCUGUCAGCUAGCUUUGAUUUCUGAGAAAUUUCCGCUUCUGAAAAUAAAUGUGAUUCAGAGGCAGAGCAAUUUCAAAUCUCCCUUCUGCCAGGCUGGGAGUUGGGUGGGUUUACAUUGAGUGAAAAUGUCCCCUGUCCAGCUCUCCCACCUAAGCCAGCCUCCUGCUUGCUGCCUGCCAGAGUCAUGCAAGCCUCAUUCUGUAGGUGUGGUCCUCUCCCUUCCACCUGCCAAACAUGCAGGCCGGUGGAAAGGCCACUAGCAUUAUGCAUUAUGCCAGCAGCGAAGUCCCUGAAACAGGACAUCCCAGAAGCAGGAAGGCCUAAGCCAGCUUAAGAUCCAUCAGAUCCUCAGCCAGUCUCAUUGCCUUUAUGCUACAGCAUUGGAUUUGAUUGCUGUGCAAGCCACAGCCCCUGCUGCACCAUAAAAGCUGGGUCGAAGUUUGGAUUGCAAUCUAAGAUGUUGUAAGCAAUGUUUGAUUCUUGGGAUGAAGACACCAGGAGGCUGGUGUGACUGGUACUGCAGAACCCCACAGCAUGGGCUAAAAAAAAAAAAGCAUAAUAUUAAGCCUAAGAACUUCUCUUUGUGCUGACUCACUGUAUCCUGGGCUACCUAAAGGACACCACAUGUUUUGUUUUGUUUUGUUUUGUUUUACUUUAUUCUUGUUAUUAUUAUAUAUGUAUUGCUUCAUAAAUAUAUUCUUGUUCAGGAUAUAGAACUGUGUUGGUGAUUUUGGAGUUUUACUACACCUACCUCAGCAAAGAUCAUGUCAUUUUUCAUGGUUGCUAAGCAACCAUUCCAUCAUCAUCUCUCCCUUCCCUAGCUGACUUACUGGUAACAGAAUUAACACUUCCAUUUCAAACUGAAUGAUCCCUGUUGCUGCUCUUACAACAUACUUCAAAGUGGGUGGUCAGGUGGCUGGAAGGAGUCCUUGGAGAAAACAUAGCAGCUUCAGAAUAAAAGUAGAAGCACUGUAAAUAUCUGCAGUAGUUAUGGAUACCCAAUUAUGAAUAGUUAUGUUGGUGAUAUUUUUGGUACCGCCUGCAAGCUGAACACCUGUAGGAUUUGUGACACAUAUACUACUUAGAGGGUACAGCCAAGACAAGUACAUUUUAAAAUAUUAAGCCCCAAAGGGCUGGGUAAUUUUGAAAUCAUUGGCGUCUUCAUACAAAAAACCCACAAAACAGUUCCUAUGGGGAAAUCACUAAUCAGAAUUUCUGUAAUUCUAUGCACACUCUUUCAGAUAAGUUUUGGACAGCACUGUUACUCCUGGAUAGCAUUCAUAUUGUCACUGAAAAACACUAUCAAGCCCCAUACCAAAAGUACUUCAGAGUACUUUUUCAAACCAAACCAAUAAAAAUAAAAAUGCAGCUUUGUAUUCUUAAAAAGUCACUUCGCUUUUUCACUAUUCAUUUAUGUAUUUAUUGUAUUUAGUUUUUCCAUCUUUCUUCCAAUGAGCCCAAAGUGGUGUACAAGGUUCUCUCCCUCUCCAUAUUAUCCUGACUACAACCCUGGGAGGUGUGUUAUAACAAGCCAACAAGCUUCAAGGCUGAAUGGGGAUUUGAAUUCUGGUCUCCUAGGCCCUAAUACAAUCAUCUAACCACUACAUCGCAUGGGCACUCUUAUUGCUCAUCAACUUGUAAUCAUAUCUCUCCACUGGCUCCUUUCCUGUUUCUUUCUCAGUAAAAUCAAGUACCUAAUUAUCACCUUCUAUACUCUUAUGCAGUGGCACAUGCCAACACUAUGGCUGUCUUCUCCCACGUUGUAUUCAGAAUUUGUUAUUGUGAAGUAAUUAAGCUGCCCACAUAGGGAUUUGGGCACAUUCUUCUCUGCACAUUUCUGACUAGUUUCUACCAUGUUUUCACUGCUUCCCUGCCAUUUAACCUCAUGCAUCUUCAGAUUAAACGUUACCUUGUUCUUAGCAUCGCUCAGACUCCGCUUGUUAUUCAUUAUGUAAUACUUAAUGUGGGGAAAAGUUUGGAAUGUGGUAUGAAGCCAGCCUCUCUACACAACUGGCUUGUUAUAUUGUUCCCUCCCACCACUAUGAUAGCUUUUAGCUCUGUCUGUCUUAAUGGUGAAAUGAAACAAUUGGUUAAUUGUUGGAAAUGUUUGCUUUUAAAAACACUCAUAAAAACACAAUCAUGCCUUAAGGAAUUUUCAACACCUACACAGUUAGUAUAGGGCAGGGGUCUGCAACCCGCGGCUCCGGAGCCGCAUGUGGCUCUUUUACACCUUUGCCGCGGCUCCAGGGGAGGAGGCGCAUUGUGCGCCCCGACACUCCCCACUGUGGCGGGCGCUGUACUGGCUGUGAUGUCGCAUGGGGGCGGUGUGUGCGUUAGUCACACACCGUCCCAACGUCACCUUCCCGCCCGCCCGCUACAUUGUAAGGGGCAUGUACGCUGGUCACUGCAUUGAAAGGGGGCAUGUACGCUGGUCACUGUUUUGAAGGGGAGUGAAGAACACACACACACAAAAAGGUAACUUGUUAAUUUAACGUUUAUUUCUAUGAGGAGGAGUAAUUCUGAGGGGUCAAACAAAGAAAUAAUAAUAAUAAGUGACAAAAAGGUUAUUUUUAUAAUGACGAGUUUUGUGGCUCCCAGGUUUUUUUUCUUCGGAAACGGGUCCAAGUGGCUCUUUUUGUCUUAAAGGUUGCAGACCCCUGGUAUAGGGGCUUUAUUUCUUGUUCUCUUCUGAUGAAAAUAUGGAAAUUUGCAAUACUUGUAAUAGGAAAGUUUUUAACGACUGAUGUUUUAAUGUAUUUUUAAUCUUUUGCUAGAAACCACCCAGAUACUAAUAUUAGUAUUAGUAUUAAGCAAAGAAAUUUUGCUAAUGGAUUGAAAUGAUCUAACAAGAGAAAGAGUGAGCUAAUGCUGAUUUAGUUUUGUAGCCCUGUCUCUUGGGUAUCGACUGUCCCCAGACAGGUAACUUUCUGGAAUGAAGAAACUACCACAGUCACUGGCUGGCUGAGAAAACCAUCCAUCUGCAGAAACCAGAGAAUUAAUGGCCAUCUCUGGUUCUCAAGCAUUCCCACUGUUACUCCUAUAGCAGCAACGCCAAGGGCAGCAAAACGUUUGAUGUGACAUCAUCAUAUUGUGACAAUACCACAUCACACAUUUGUACUAUAUGUUCCGGGGGUGGGUGGGUGAGGACCAGAAGAUGCCGAGCUCAUGAUUUCCAUGGCAGCCGCCUUUGUUGUGUUAUGCUCAGUCCCAGCAUGAACUGCUAAUUGCUGAUUUAGGAAAUGUUUGAUUGCUCAUAGCGCUGCCUGUUAUUGUCACCCUAACUCUCUAUAGUACUUUGACAAUCCUGGAAUGGCCUUCUCCAUUCCAAAUCUUUUUUAUCAUCUUACUUAGUCCUCUUGCCUGAUAUAACUCCACUCUUGGCAACUCUCUGGAACACAAUGGGAUAAGGGAUGGUGCAUGGAGAAAUGCCAAUAGGUAGAAAAUCCAGUUUGCCAACUUACAGGAGUGAAAUGACUUGGUUGAGACAAAACCAACAGUGGAUACAUACAGCCUCCUCUUUGCCUGAUAGUGCUGCUAGCAUUUUGUUUGUUAAAAAAGUAUCGAGACUGUGCACUUUGCACAUUGUGCCAGAAGAAAGGGAGUUGCAAAGAACAUGUGUUGUUUCUGAGGUCUGAAGUUGAUAUUUUAAAAAAAUACAAGUAAACCAUCUUGAGUUUCUGCUUAGGAAUUGUGGAGAUACACUGUGCCAGCAGGGGUCUGAGCGACUGUUAGUCAUCAGUGUUUGCAGUAAAUCAAACCAUGGGCAGUUCUGUGAGUAAAGUGUCUGUGUGAAGGCAUCAGAAGCCGGUCAAUUCUAACUGGUCAGCUCCAUCCUGAUGCUUAUGGGCCAGGGUUGGGGACCCUUUUUGACUCCACAAGCCAGAUCUUUGUCAAGGUAGGCCUUGCGGACCACAAUUGACAGUUGGUGGUUCUCUCAAUCAUGUGACCUCACUGUGGCAUCAUGUGAUUGAUGGGUGGGCACUGCUGACCUCUUGAAAUCCCUUGCAGAUUGAAGCAGAGAAAGCAUUCUAUACGUUGAACCACUUACUCCUCCAGCAGCUCCUUACCAUUAGUUCUUUUCUGUCUCCCGUUCUUCAGCCCUUCUGGGAUGUGUUUUUAAAGCGGCUGAAGCAAGGCUACCACUAGCACCACUUUCAUGUAUAGUGUUCAGUGCAUUUCUAUAGAAAAAAAAAAUCCAGAUUUUUCUUUCCUGUUAAACAGCCUUUUGAGGGUGCCUAGGUCACAGAGCUGCCAUUUUCUGAUGGUGGGCCUCACUUCCUUAUCCCUUGUGGUGGGUAUGAAACACUUCGUUUUCCCCCAACCCAUUCUCUCUUUAUGCUGCAAGGCAACAACACCAUCCAUCCGUGUUUUCUUUUCUUUUAGUUUUUCGUGGUUAUUUUUGGUACUCGUGUAAUAAAUUUUGCCCAAGCAGUUCUAGACAAGGAAUUGGCUGGCAUACGUGUUCUAUUUUCGAAGCAGGCAAAUUGAUAUUGCUUUGCUGUCUCCUCUGAGUCACUCCUCCACUCGCCACCGUGGAAAUCCAUGGGCUCAAAUUAUGCUGCAGAGUCGCAGUGUCCCUGGCAUCUCCAGCUAGAUAACAAAACAGCUCAGGUAGCAGAUGAUCGGGGAGAUUCUCUGCCCAAGACCCCAGGGGGCUGCUUACCGGACCAGGUAGAGAAGUAGUCUACAUGGCAUGGUACAUGGCAAACAGAAGAAAGAAUAAAAGUGGAGAUUUGCUACAUCUUCUGAAUGGAAAAGAGAAGAUCUCAUGCAAUGAUUUAUUGAUAGUCGCUUGAAUCUUUUCCAGAGAGGCAACUUGUUUAGUGUCUUGCUGCAGACAGAAGAGUCUUUAGAAGACUGAACAAAUUUAUUAUGGCAUAAUAUUUAGUGGGUUACGAUCCACUCUGUCAGAUGCAUGACGUGUUAUUGUGAGUUACAGGUCUAUACAGUGGUACCUCGGGUUAAGUACUUAAUUCGUUCGGGAGGUCCGUUCUUAACCUGAAACUGUUCUU